GUUUUGCCAUAUGGUUCCCACAAACCUACUAAGCCUUUCAAGUUGGAGCUUGCAAUAUAUUCUAGUAUGCAGGAUGCUCAACCACAUACAGUUAUUGGAUUGUGGAAAGUCAAUAUGGAAGAAUCAAAAUCUCACUUGUCUGAUCCUUCGGUUAUAAUUCAUGAUAUCUCCACAAGUAAUUCCUUUAUUCUGAAACAAUUCUUAGAGUGUUUUAAACCUUAUUUUUCUUAGGCCAUAAAUAUGGGAGUUGAUGUCACAUUCAUUCCCCUAGCCAUUUUUUAAUUGAAUUCUAUGUCCAUGCAUAGUCCCACGAGGCAGGAGGCGGAGACAAGGCAUCAAAAACUUAGGCUGGGAGAGGAGUGCUAGCAACCAAUACACCCAGGCAGAUAUUGAUCAAGUGCGAAAUGAGUGGGGGAAGUUUGUUGUCAACACAUAUGUGCAUGAGUCUUGAAGUAGCGCGCUUAUUGCUGGUACAAUUUUGAUAAGGAAAGCAUCUUUUUUGUGCUUCUCUGAUGGUACAUUGUCAUGCACCAUGUGGCAUGUUUUGGAACAAUACAUAUAUGUGUAUCAGCUUUUUGAUGUUGCAAGUAGAUGGGCAU